rnacentral:tRNA from 1 species
GGGGCUGUAGCUCAGCUGGGAGAGCACAGCGUUCGCAAUGCUGAGGCCGUGGGUUCGAUCCCCAUCAGCUCCA